ACUACCGCUUUCUUCUUACCACGGGUUGGACGAUAGCAAAGAGGUUCUAAUUGCUACUUUGCAGAUAAGAGCCUGUAUCAAAGUAGCCUACGUGGAUCGAGAGGAAAUAAUUGCUCCCUGACGGAGAAAACAAAAUAGCUGGCUGACCGAUCUUAACGCAGCGGGUUCAAAGGGACUGCGAGCAAAGCUUCGAGUUCUGUUGCGCUGCACUGCGAAAACACAGCCUUCCGCUGAAUCAGUUUCAGCAAAGAUGGUCCCAAGACUUCUCUGUUUACAGUUCCACCAGGUCCACAGGCUCGCUAUAUCCUUACCUUGAAGCGCACUCGAGUCUACCAGGCUCCCAGGAGCUGGCCCCUGUUAUCUUUCAUCAGAAUGCAACUAGGAAUACGUACUCGACACCAUCAGAUUACUCGAAUCACUAACUCCCGCUAGCUUCCAACGGAUUCUUCGAUAUUGGCGUCAGUAUGCUGAGCUCCUGGUCCGAAUUCGGUGGUGUCAGGGUAUCCGCCGGUGUCCUCGACAGCACUCUGGCCUGGCCAACCUUGGACUCCGCCGUGGCGCCCUCUAUCUGCUCCUUCGCUUCUCCGGGAUUGUUCACCGUGCACUUCUUGUAGUGAGUCCUCAUGUUGCUGCUCUGGGAGAACCUGAGGCCGCAAUUGGGGCAGGAGUACGGCUUGGUGCCGGUGUGGUAGUUCAAGUGGGUCUUCAGGUGGUGCUUCUUGGUGAAAGCUUUCGAGCACAGCGUGCACUGAUACGGCUUCAAUCCGGAAUGAAGCCUGGUGUGCAGAGUCAUGUUCGAUCUGUCCGCGAAAGCCUUCUGGCAGACCUGGCACUGGUACGGCCGCUCCCCGGAAUGGGUCCUCAGGUGCUGCUUCAGCAACAUUUUCCGCGAGAAAGCCUUGCCGCACUGCUCGCACUGGUGCGGCUUCACGCCCGUGUGGAUCCGGACGUGCAUGUUGUACGCGACCCGCUGGUUGAAGCUUUUCCCGCAUUCCGCGCACCCGUAUUCCUUCCGGUUGCGGUGGAUCUUCAUGUGAGAGCUCAGGUAACCCCGGUCGUUGAAGUACUUGCCGCAUUCCGGGCAGGUGGCCGCGAACUCCCUGGUGCCCUCGUGAACGCUCCGGUGGUACUUGUAGUUUCGCAGCUGUGAGAACUGCUUGCCGCAAUCCGCGCAGCGAAACGGCUUUUCACCGGAGUGCGUCCUGACGUGCACCUGAAACAGACCCACGGGGAAUCGUCUUGGGACUUCGGUGAUUGAUUGCCCGCCAGACGAGCUCCGUCCUCGGGCAUCUGCCCGCGCGCCCGUUCGAGAAACCGCUGAUCUUUUGCCUCGUACUUUCACGGGGAACGAUUCAUAGUUUACGCGAUCUCGAAUCGGUACCGAGCCGAUUGUUUUUGUGGAUGCACCGGUGACCCUGUCAGGUAAAUAAAGGAGAAACUGAUAGGCCGCGAUUGGAGAACUGACGAACGUGGGAGAGGACUGGAAGAGAGAAUGGAAAGAAUAAUACAAAUAAAUAAUACAUGUGCGAAGAGGAGAUCAGAAUGAAAUAAAAACUAGAGGACGGCCGAACGAGAAAAGGGCAACUAAUAUACAGGGUGGGCCGGAAUUCGUAGAACAAGCAAGCAGAGGGUGACUCUACAAGAAAAAAUAAGAAACAAAUUUGGCAUAACAUUGUUUUAUCCGGGGCUCCGUUUUCGAGAAAAUCGAUUUUAAGGACUCUUCGUAAAGAAUUUAGUUGUAUUUUCUUCUACCGCAGUUGCCUCCGUCCGAGAUAGUGUUUACAAACAUUAACGAUGAUGGACGCAUACCGUUUACUACAUAGUUCGCAACAAGUUAAUUUUAAGGACAAUUUUUUCGAAAACGAGGCCUCGGAUAAAAGAAAAUACACCAAAUUUGUUUAUUUUUCCACGAAGAAUCACCCUCUGCUCGGUUGUACUACGAAUUCCGACCCACCCUGUAUAGUUAUAAUAGUGAAAGUAAAGUACUGUAAAGAAAAUCCGAAAUCAUGUAAAAUGUGUACGGACAGUGUAAUAAAUAGUAGUGUAAUAAAAAAGUAGUCCCAUCAUUAA